AUGGCUUGUCGGUAAAGCGCUGGGAUUCCACCCAGUCAAUCCGGGUUCGAAUCCCGGU
rnacentral:tRNA from 1 species